rnacentral:ncRNA from 1 species
ACAGGGACGAGCGAAAACACGGUCCGGUCGGUAGUCCGGGCGCCGUCGGUGCUGGUCGCCGCCGGUCAGUAACCUCCCUCCCAGGGUGUCCGGUUCGUCCUUCUCGAUC